UACUAUUAAUAUACUGGUUAGGGUAUUAGCGUAAUUAUGUAAUUCAAAAGACCUCCUUCGUGUGAAUCGUAGACUGUCAUUAUUAUUGUAAAGUAUUGGAGUAAUUGAUUUUAAUAAACAAAGUAAAAGUGGGAGUUUACGACGACAGAUUGAAGACUGCACGUGUGGUGCGCAGGCCGAAAGGCUCAUUGACCGGCUACUGCCCGCACUCUUCCGGUCACCGUAUUUUAACCCUUCAAUUAAUUAAUAAAUUAAUUUCACCCGUGAGGUGAGACUAAUUGCUUUGAUGGAAACGCCUCCCAGAAAAAAGAAACAAGAGAGGCGUUAGUGUAUAGAGAGGAGCGUGGGGAAUGGCUUUUCUGCUCUAGUUCCCAGUCCCCGAUUUUGUGGCAGUGUUGCCAUUUUGCUGCUGCUGAAAUGACCUAUGAGGAGGGAGGGAACAGAGUGAAAGAAGGAGAUAGAUGGCAGGUGUGUGUGUGUGUGUGUGUACCUUUCAGCAGAUGUGGUUGAGUUCACAGUAUUUAUGGAUGAGUAGACGGUCCAGGUGGGUGUAAUACUUUUUUCCUCUUAUCCUUUUGUGGUAGAAUUUGAGGACAAGACCUCCAAUGUUUACUACUCACUGAAA